rnacentral:rRNA from 1 species
UACGGAGGAUCCAAGCGUUAUCCGGAAUCAUUGGGUUUAAAGGGUCCGUAGGCGGCCUUAUAAGUCAGUGGUGAAAUCUCCUAGCUCAACUAGGAAAUGGCCAUUGAUACUGUAGGGCUUGAAUUAUUGUGAAGUAACUAGAAUAUGUAGUGUAGCGGUGAAAUGCUUAGAUAUUACAUGGAAUACCAAUUGCGAAGGCAGGUUACUAACAAUAUAUUGACGCUGAUGGACGAAAGCGUGGGGAGCGAACAGG